GACGAACGCUGGCGGCGUGCUUAACACAUGCAAGUCGAACGGAAAGGCCCUGCUUUUGUGGGGUGCUCGAGUGGCGAACGGGUGAGUAACACGUGAGUAACCUGCCCUUGACUUUGGGAUAACUUCAGGAAACUGGGGCUAAUACCGGAUAGGAGCUCCUGCUGCAUGGUGGGGGUUGGAAAGUUUCGGCGGUUGGGGAUGGACUCGCGGCUUAUCAGCUUGUUGGUGGGGUAGUGGCUUACCAAGGCUUUGACGGGUAGCCGGCCUGAGAGGGUGACCGGCCACAUGGGUACUGAGAUACGGCCCAGACUCCUACGGGAGGCAGCAGUGGGGAAUAUUGCACAAUGGGCGGAAGCCUGAUGCAGCAACGCCGCGUGCGGGAUGACGGCCUUCGGGUUGUAAACCGCUGGCGCCUGUGACGAAGCGUGAGUGACGGUAAUGGGUAAAGAAGCACCGGCUAACUACGUG
rnacentral:rRNA from 1 species